rnacentral:rRNA from 1 species
ACCUGGCGGCAGGCUACCAUGCUGAUCGAACGGAUCCUUCGGGAUUAGUGGCGGACGGGUGAGUAACACGUGGGAACGUGCCCUUUGGUUCGGAACAACUCAGGGAAACUUGAGCUAAUACCGGAUGUGCCCUUCGGGGGAAAGAUUUAUCGCCAUUGGAGCGGCCCGCGUCUGAUUAGCUAGUUGGUGGGGUAAAGGCCCACCAAGGCGACGAUCAGUAGCUGGUCUGAGAGGAUGAUCAGCCACAUUGGGACUGAGACACGGCCCAAACUCCUACGGGAGGCAGCAGUGGGGAAUCUUGCGCAAUGGGCGAAAGCCUGACGCAGCCAUGCCGCGUGAAUGAUGAAGGUCUUAGGAUUGUAAAAUUCUUUCACCGGGGACGAUAAUGACGGUACCCGGAGAAGAAGCCCCGGCUAACUUCGUGCCAGCAGCCGCGGUAA